UUGUUAAUUAGUAUAUAUUACCAGUAGUAGUCUUUAUCUGAGUCCCGCGAUGUGAUGACGUACGGUACACCAAAAUUCAGAGGUGCAUCAAUUCGCGGCAACUGAAAUCCGGAUCCACAAUCCGAUUUUUGAUCCCCCCCCCCUGGUUUGGAACAUGCUGGGAGAAUGUGAUCAACCCUCUGUUAAUUACCAGUACCCUUUUAUCAAAGUCCCACGAUGUGGAUGCGAUGAUGGUACACCAAAGUCAGAGGUGCCAUCAAUUCACCGCAACUGAACAGACUAUUCGCUUGAGAUUAUCAGAUGAAUCAGCAGUGUUUUUCUCUCACAACAAACCAGCCAACCGUACUUUCUGAAUAAGACGGGACAUCGUGUCAGUCUGAAAUUUGAUUUUUUUUUUUCUGUUUGCAAUUUUUUUUAAAAAAAUGAACAGCAGAGGCCUAGGGACCUGUACUCAAAGUUUUUAAUACGAGUAACCAAGGAGAUUACAAAACAAGGUCCAAAAACAGCAAAAAAGAGACAACAAAGGAGCCGAAAGAGCAAAAAAAAAAAACGACCCAACACUCAGGGAAC
rnacentral:lncRNA from 1 species